AUAGUGUGACCACAUUUCAAAUCCUAGGAUCCAAGGAUUGCAAGGAUACUCCCAUAUUCGCCAUAACGUCGCUUGUGAUAAGGCAUCAUAAAACCAGAUGAGAGGAGUAACUCCGUUCACGCUGCUGUCCUUUCUCUUUGUGGCUUCAUUUCUCGUGGUUCCAGCUUGUUCAUCGAAGUCCAAUAACAUGGCGUCUCCGAAGACAAAGUGGGCCGAUUUGGUAGGAAAGACUGGAGAGGAAGCCAAGGCUGCCAUCUUGCAGGAUAGACCAGGAUUGCAGGUUGAUAUUCUUCCAGAAGACUCAAUGAUGACCAUGGAUUUCCGUGAAGACCGUGUCCGCAUCAUGGUCAAUGCUGCAGGGAAAGUGGUGAAGGCUCCCUCUGUUGGUUGAAUCUUGUCAGUCAUCGUUGCCUAGCCCAUUCCAUGUACCAGAUUAAUGUUUACCAAUGAGUUUUUUCUGUUGAGAGGUGCGAGAAGAACCUUAUGCAAUCAUAGUAAAUUAUGCCUGCAAUUUGGAUGAUAAACAAUGACAUUAAAAAGCAAUAAAGAGCCAUAGAUAUUUAAGAGAAAUUUCUACUUACAGCCUUACACCCAAAUAUAUUUGGUUAACUUUGUACUGUAAACAACCAACUUACCAUCUAUUUGGUGCCACAAGUAUGUUAACUCUGUGUUAGAGUAUAUGAGUUAAUGCCCUUUGGCUCCAAACAGACGUUACUGUGUAAUUUUCAUCAUUAUAAGAACUUACUUUUUGUUUCAAUAAAAGCAUAAGAACAUUCCUUUUUAAUCUAUUAAAACAAUCCCUAAAUAUUGAUCUGAAAUCUCUGAUAAUGGCAGGAUUAAGAACGUAACUACAGACAUUUUGCUUUAUUCUGUUCUAGGUUAUGUCACCAUCAUAUAAUAUCAACUCUGUCAGUUAUUUGUGCUUCUAUUGUGCAUGAUAUGGUAUUAAGAUUUUAUGAAUUGGUAUCCUCUCCAAAAUUUAUAUGUAAAAUGUUCAGUUUAUUCGUAUAGAUCACUUGGUGCUCUUGCUAAAAUGUGCUGUCUUGAAUGUUGGGGAAAAUUGAAAAGUAUUUUACCAUAUGAUAGAUAAACUGUCAAAGAUAUCUUUUUUCUUUUUUCUAAAACUAUUUAUGAUAACCAAAUUAUCUCUUCAUAAAAGUACUAAAACAGCUUUAUUCAAAAUAUAUAUACAAAAUAUUAUGUUUAGUCUAAACCAUGACCAUUUGUGCCUCACAAAAAUUUUCCUGACCUUCAAAAGUGAAUAUGCUGGGAUAUGAAUUAUAGAAGUUAUAAAUUGAGUAGAUAUGAUUAAGGUAAAUAUGGUCUUUAUACAAAAUUAAAAUAUAAUUACUGUACA
rnacentral:lncRNA from 1 species